ACCUCCGUAGCUCAGUGGAAAGAGCGCUGCCGUGCGAAGGCAGAGGUCGUAGGUUCGAUUCCUACCGGGGGUG
rnacentral:tRNA from 1 species